AUACCCGGGUAGUCCCAGCUGUAAACGAUGCAGGCUAGGUGUUUGGACGGCCACGUGCCGUUCUAGUGCCGCAGGGAAGCUGUUAAACCUGCCGCCUGGGGAGUACGAUCGCAAGAUUGAAACUUAAAGGAAUUGGCGGGGGAGCACCACAAGGGGUGAAGCUUGCGGUUUAAUCGGACUCAACGCCGGAAAUCUCACCGGAUAAGACAGCUGUAUGAUAGUCGGGCUGAAGACUCUACUUGACUAGCUGAGAGGAGGUGCAUGGCCGUCGUCAGUUCGUACUGUGAGGUGUCCUGUUAAGUCAGGCAACGAUCGAGACCCGCAUCCACUGUUGCUACUAGCCUUGUGCUGGGCACACUGUGGAGACCGCCACUGAUAAAGUGGAGGAAGGAGCGGGCCACGGCAGGUCAGUAUGCCCCGAAUCUCCCGGGCCACACGCGAGCUGCAAUGGCAGGUACAAUGAGUUCCAACCCCGAAAGGGGAAGGCAAUCUCGAAAGCCUGCCGUAGUUGGGAUCGAGGGCUGUAACCCGUCCUCGUGAACAUGGAAUCCCUAGUAAUCGC
rnacentral:rRNA from 1 species